rnacentral:misc_RNA from 1 species
UCCGGCUUAUCACCGGCAGUCCCUCCAGAGUGCCCGGCCGAACCGCUGGCAACUGAAGGCGAGGGUUGCGCUCGUUGCGGGACUUAACCCAACAUCUCACGACACGAGCUGACGACAGCCAUGCAGCACCUGUGUUCCGGUUCCCUUUCGGGCACCCCCGCCUUUCAGCAGGCUUCCGGACAUGUCAAGGGUAGGUAAGGUUUUUCGCGUUGCAUCGAAUUAAACCACAUCAUCCACCGCUUGUGCGGGUCCCCGUCAAUUCCUUUGAGUUUUAGCCUUGCGGCCGUACUCCCCAGGCGGGGCACUUAAUGCGUUAGCUACGGUACGGAAAACGUGGAAUGUCCCCCACACCUAGUGCCCAACGUUUACGGCAUGGACUAC